rnacentral:tRNA from 1 species
GGGUGUGUAGCUCAGUGGUAGAGCAUCCGGCUGUUAACCGGAUGGCCGCAGGUUCGAAUCCUGCCGCGCCCG